rnacentral:lncRNA from 1 species
CCACAAAAAUAAAAUUAAUAUUAAACAGCAUCUUAUUGAAAAUUUCUUUUACAUUCAGCAUUCAAUUAAAAAAUAGGAAUCAGGAGAUGGGCUAUACGCAUCAUCAAGGAAACAUGUACCCAUGAAAUACAAAAUCAGAAGGCAUUGAUAAUGCAAAUAGCAUCGAGUCUAAUCAAUAGAGCCAAAAAGAAGGCCUCUCAAUCAUCUCAGCAAACAGGACCCCGAAUCUUCUGCACAGUAGCAUCAUCAUGAAGGCAGAAUCAAUACUCUUAUCGUUUCCAUUAGAAACAAUUGUAUAAAACAUCCAUGCAGCAAUGCCAAUUUGAAUUCCUACAUGUAAGAAAUAGAAUAUGAGAAGAAAAGGUGAAGGGGACUAUUGCAGGUUCGAUCCUUACUGAGAAAUUUAGUCCAUACUAAUGACAAAUUAACUCGGUGAAGUGACAAAAGUCGAUUAAAAGUAGAAAAGAAAAUGUUUUUCCAUAAAUUACUGUAACCACAACAAUAUUAUGAAUGGGGCCAUUCGAUGGUUCAUGAAGGUGGAAUAAAAAACUGAAGUAGCAUUUCCGCUUGCAAGCUCUUGUGCACUAUGGCAUUUUAAUCUACCCUUCAGCAGGAGGUCUGCUAAACAAGUAUGUAAAGCCAUAUCAGAAUCAGAAUCAAUGCCCGGAUGUUCCCAAAGGGCAAAGCCACAAAGCUAUAGCACCUUUCCAGCCAGUCGUUCCAACAACAAUGCUUAAGAUAACGAACCUUGUUCAAAAACAGAGAGCUAAGCCCCAAAUGAUCUAUCUCUUCAAUCUGCUUUCCCGAGCGGUGGAUUCAUUGUCUUUUAAUCAUCUACCUACCAUUGGCGUGAUAGUCAAUUAGCAUGAGUUAUAUAGUUGGUGUUAACAAAGUUGACCAGAACUUAUCAAAGAAAAAGAAGUUUCAAAAUAUUGCUCCCUUACCAUGAACUGUUGUUCAAAGCUGGCCUCUAAGCUAUUUAACAUAUUAAGGAAGCAUUUUUAUCAUAUUUUUACUAUAAUUAGUAGAUGGCAACGAGGCAUAUUUGACGAGAAUUGUCCGGACUCCGGAACAUAUCUCAUACCCUUAACCAAGUGUCAAAUGUAGGAUACGUACAUACAGCCAUACAGGUACUCAAAAGCAUUUUGCUGCAUACAUAGGUCCAAAGAUAACACAUCAAAUGAUUGAAGAUGAUUCUUGGGGAUUAUUUAGAAGUGGAAUGCAUUUUUUCAGAAAGUUGUAUUAUUAUGUGUAUUAUCAUCACAUAUAUUUAAUAAAAUAAAAGGGAAAAUAACUAGAGUAAAUGGGAGAUGCAAUAAAUGAGGAUAUUUUUUGGCCAAGCAGUUUUAGAGGAUGAGGGUCCAUAGGACCAUAACCUCCAUCCUUCUAUGCCAACAACUCCAAGAACUUCAAAUCAAAAGUAGCGAAACUUUCUUUUUUAUUUUAAAAAAUUUAAAACUGAACUAGAAUGCAUUAUUAAAUUUUUUUUUUAAAAAAGCAAGAUAAAUUCAUGAUGAAGAAAUGUCAAAGGAUGCCAGUGAUGAUGCAAUCAAAGAAUACAAAAUAGAGAUGUCAGAAGAGGAGGAUGCAAUGUCAUCUGGCCAUUCCAAACUGGGGCUUAAUAUGUAUCCUUAUCAAUAUGUGGGUUGGCAAUGGCUGGAACUGACAAGGAGAGUAACAAAUAUUUAAUUUAGAGCAGAAGCACCUUAAAAAAACUGACAAGAAUGGUUUACACAAACGUACCUUCUGUUGAAAUUUAUGUUGCUAUCAUAACUCAAAAUCGUAGAGAAAAUAGACUGCAACCCUCUGUUAAUGAAUACCGCCUGUGUGAUGUUGGGAGCAUUACGGUCUUGGAUAAUCGGGGCCCAUCAACUGCAGAAUAGAGAUACUCCAUGUUUUCAUACGAUCAGAAAUUACAAUCUCACAAAAAACCCAAAAAAUCUUGCAGGACAUUCAGAAAGGGCGAAUUUGGGUUAUAAUGAGCCAAACAAGUUUUUGACUUGGUUUCCAUUUCUCAGAACAACAGUAUUCGGAAAUAAAAUGGACUAAGCUUUGGGUAACUUAUAUAGGGAGGCCAUUCUUUUUGCUGCCAUUGGAACCACAUAAUACGUAUCCAGAUUUCUACUAUGACCGGCUGUUAAUGGCAUUAUCUCCAACUAAAAAGAAUAAAAGAAAGUAACAUACAGUCACACAAACACACACUCAACCACACAUGUGAAG